GACGAACGCUGGCGGCGUGCUUAACACAUGCAAGUCGAACGGUGAACGAGGGAGCUUGCUCCUCCCGGCUCAGUGGCGGACGGGUGAGUAACACGUGAGCAAUCUGCCCCGAACACUGGGAUAAGCGCUGGAAACGAGGUCUAAUACCGGAUAAGACAUGGGAGGGCAUCCUCUACUCGUGGAAAGAACUUCGGUUAGGACUGCGCUCGCGGCCUAUCAGCUUGUUGGUGAGGUAACGGUUCACCAAGUCAAAGACGGGCAGCCGGCCUGAGAGGGGAACCGGCCACGCUGGGACUGAGACACGGCCCAGUCUCCACCGGGAGGCAGCAGUGGGGAAUAUAGCAUAACGGGCGCAAGCCAGAUGUAGCGACGCCGCGUGGGGGACGACGGCCUUCGGGUUGUAAACCUCUGUUAGCAGAUAAGAAGCGAAAGUGACGGUACCUGCAGAAAAAGCACCGGCUAACUACGUG
rnacentral:rRNA from 1 species